GAAUUCAUUCGCGGCUCGCGGUAGGCGGCGUGCGAUCGUGCGACGGAAGACGUUUCGACGUUUUUCGCGCCUUUCGUACGUCGAUCCGAUCGCGAACGCGUGCACUUUCCUCCUUGUAGGACGUCGCGAUCCGUUGGGUGUCGGCUUAAGGCUCGGGGUGGAGCCCGUAGACGACGGUUCACGCCGUUAUCGUCUGCGGACCCCCGAGUUCGCGGUCGACUCGCUCGACGGUAUACGAACGGUUUAAGGCCGCUAUUUUUAGCGUUCGACUCGUCGCAAGCGCGUCAGAUGCAAGUCGGUAAUCGGACCUGGUGCCGUUUCCGUCCUCUGAUGACUGUUGGUGACGAAGUUCUCGAACAGACCUUAAUAAACCGAUCAGCGACGCUAUAGCUUUGGGUACUUUCAGGACCCGUCUUGAAACACGGACCAAGGAGUCUAGCAUGUGCGCGAGUCAUUGGGAAUCACUAAACCUAAAGGCGCAAUGAAAGUGAAAGUUCGUCUCGCACGAACUAAGGGAAGAUGAGCGGUUUACCCUUAAAAGUGGCCGCUCCGCAUUCCCGGGGCGUCUCGUUCUCAUCGCGAGAAGAGGCGCACCAAGAGCGUACACGCUGGGACCCGAAAGAUGGUGAACUAUGCCUGGUCAGGACGAAGUCAGGGGAAACCCUGAUGGAGGUCCGUAGCGAUUCUGACGUGCAAAUCGAUCGUCGGAACUGGGUAUAGGGGCGAAAGACUAAUCGAACCAUCUAGUANCUGG
rnacentral:rRNA from 1 species